CCUACGGGAGGCAGCAGUAGGGAAUAUUGCUCAAUGGGGGAAACCCUGAAGCAGCAACGCCGCGUGGAGGAUGAAGGUUUUCGGAUUGUAAACUCCUUUUGUUAGAGAAGAUAAUGACGGUAUCUAACGAAUAAGCACCGGCUAACUCCGUGCCAGCAGCCGCGGUAAUACGGAGGGUGCAAGCGUUACUCGGAAUCACUGGGCGUAAAGCGCGCGUAGGCGGGAUAGAAAGUCAGAGGUGAAAUCCUAUGGCUUAACCAUAGAACUGCAUUUGAAACUGUUAUUCUAGAGUAUGGGAGAGGUAGGUGGAAUUCUUGGUGUAGGGGUAAAAUCCGUAGAGAUCAAGAGGAAUACUGAUUGCGAAGGCGACCUGCUAGAACAUAACUGACGCUGAUGCGCGAAAGCGUGGGGAGCAAACAGGAUUAGAUACCCGUGUAGUC
rnacentral:rRNA from 1 species